GGUAAAAAGGAGGUAAAAAUAAAACUCAUAAUUGUGUUUCUAUGAUAUAACGUUACGUAAAUAAUAUAAACCUAAUCACCCUAUAUUUUCAUUUCGUUCCCAACAGUUUGUUUUUAUUAUUUUUUACAAUACAAAAGCAGCGAAAAAAUAGUGUACACCAAAAUGUGAUUUUCGAUUUCGUCAUAUGAUACAUUGCAAUUGUAAUUUGA